rnacentral:rRNA from 1 species
UACGGAGGAGGCAAGCGUUAUCCGGAAUUAUUGGGCGUAAAGCGUCCGUAGGUGGCUAGUCAAGUCUGCGGUCAAAAGACUGGGGCUUAACCCUGGAAAGGCCGUGGAAAACUGACGAGCUAGAGUGCAGUAGGGGGUAGAGGGAAUUCCCGGUGUAGCGGUGAAAUGCGUAGAGCUCGGGAAGAACAUCGGUGGCGAAAGCGCUCUACUGGACUGCAACUGACACUCAGGGACGAAAGCUAGGGGAGCGAA